rnacentral:SRP_RNA from 1 species
CCGUGCUAGGCGGGGAGCUAGCGGUGCCCUUUUCCCGAAAUCCGCUUUUGCGGGGUCGAAGGCCCGCCUAGGGUUGGCCGCCAAGGUGUUUUGUGAUCACGGGGUUUUGUCCGGACACCGCGCGACGUGCGGUCGUGAACCUCGUCAGAUCCGGAAGGAAGCAGCGAUAAGCGAUGCGGUGCGUGUCGCGGAGCGCUCUGGAUCUAGAUUUCGUGUUUCGCAUGCCCCUUGGCGGAAAAUUCGACGUGGGAUGCACGG